ACGAACGCUGGCGGCGUGCCUAAUACAUGCAAGUAGCACGCUGAAGGAGGAGCUUGCUUCUCUGGAUGAGUUGCGAACGGGUGAGUAACGCGUAGGUAACCUGCCUGGUAGCGGGGGAUAACUAUUGGAAACGAUGGCUAAUACCGCAUAAUAGUAGAUGUUGCAUGACAUUUGCUUAAAAGGUGCAAUUGCAUCACUACCAGAUGGACCUGCGUUGUAUUAGCUAGUUGGUGAGGUAACGGCUCACCAAGGCAACGAUACAUAGCCGACCUGAGAGGGUGAUCGGCCACACUGGGACUGAGACACGGCCCAGACUCCUACGGGAGGCAGCAGUAGGGAAUCUUCGGCAAUGGACGGAAGUCUGACCGAGCAACGCCGCGUGAGUGAAGAAGGUUUUCGGAUCGUAAAGCUCUGUUGUAAGAGAAGAACGAGUGUGAGAGUGGAAAGUUCACACUGUGACGGUAUCUUACCAGAAAGGGACGGCUAACUACGUG
rnacentral:rRNA from 1 species